GAUGAACGCUGGCGGCGUGCUUAACACAUGCAAGUCGAACGGAAAGGCCCAAGCUUGCUUGGGUACUCGAGUGGCGAACGGGUGAGUAACACGUGGGUGAUCUGCCCUGCACUUCGGGAUAAGCCUGGGAAACUGGGUCUAAUACUGGAUAGGACCACUUCUUGGAUGUUGUGGUGGAAAGUUUUUUCGGUGUGGGAUGAGCUCGCGGCCUAUCAGCUUGUUGGUGGGGUAAUGGCCUACCAAGGCGUCGACGGGUAGCCGGCCUGAGAGGGUGUACGGCCACAUUGGGACUGAGAUACGGCCCAGACUCCGACGGGAGGCAGCAGUGGGGAAUAUUGCACAAUGGGCGCAAGCCUGAUGCAGCGACGCCGCGUGGGGGAUGACGGCCUUAGGGUUGUAAACUCCUUUCGCUAGGGACGAAGCGUUUUGUGACGGUACCUGGAGAAGAAGCACCGGCUAACUACGUG
rnacentral:rRNA from 1 species